rnacentral:tRNA from 1 species
GCGGGCCUGGGUUACCAGGGGAACCGUGGUCUUGCGGCGGCCGCCGAAGAGGAUGGCGGAGAGCUCAACACCCUCGGGGCUGUA